rnacentral:rRNA from 1 species
AUUGAACGCUGGCGGCAGGCCUAACACAUGCAAGUCGAACGGAGCGGCGGACGGGUGGGUAAUGCCUAGGAAUCUGCCUGGUCGUGGGGGAGAACGUCCGGAAACGGGCGCUAAUACCGCAUACUAUCAGAUGAGCCUAGGUCGGCUUAGCUAGUUGGUGGGGUAAAGGCCUACCAAGGCGACGAUCCGUAACUGGUCGGAGAGGAUGAACAGUCACACUGGAACUGAGACACGGUCCAGACUCCUACGGGAGGCAGCAGUGGGGAAUAUUGGACAAUGGGCGAAAGACUGAUACAGCCAUGCCGCGGGUGUGAAGAAGGGCUUCGGAUGGUAAAGCACUUUAAGUUGGGAGGCGUUACCAACAGAAUAAGCACCGGCUAACUUCGUGCCAGCAGCCGCGGUAAUUC